CACCUGGUGAUCGGUGGCUUCGAGUUUGCCCUGUCUUCACGACGGAUCUCGUCGCCGGCACCGCCGCUUCCUUUGUCCUUCGGUCAGCCGUGUUCUCCUCUGGGGUUGACGUGUCGACCGUUGCUUUGACCUCGCGGGACACUGUUGCGUGCGCGCCGCCUGACUUGCCCGCCUUUUCCGCGGGUCAUGAUGACUUGCCUACUGCUGACCCGGUUCUUAGCGAUGGGGAUCUUGAUGGGGUUCUGCCGUUCGAGGAGGAGAUUCCAGAAGGUACCCGGAAUCGCCAUGCUCCUCUGCCGCCCCCCCCCGGAGCCCGAAGACGGCUGGGAGCUCUGGGGUCAGGAUGCUGCGCAUGAGGAUAAACUUGGGUGGUGGGGGUGUUGGUUGGGGGGAUGUGCCUGGAUGCCAGAAUCACCGCUUGCCCAGUUGGAUCUCCGUGCUCCUCACCGGCCGUUGGGUGUUAACUUGGUGCGUCCACCGGCAAUCUCUGACAGUAUGAAUUCCAGCAGCGAUGAGUCGAUUGCUCUGUGUCUGGGUCCGCAGGUGGUUCAGCGUCGCCAGAGUCGGCCUGGUAUUUCCUUCAGAACCCCGAUCCAAUCUCCAAGUAAGCUGCCUGAUGUGCCUAAUCCUGAGUUACAGCUUGAUCCUGAACUUCGCCUAUUUGCCUCCGAUCUGGGAAUUGCUUCCGCUUUUGACAGAGAUCUGCAGCUCGCCCUUCUGGAUCAACAGGAAGCUGCACUUCAGAAAACAGAACCUUUUGAUCCUGACGAUCCCAAGGGAAAGCGUUUGGCUACCAACCAGCGAUUGACCGUGGUUCCCCCGGGUUGUUCUGCUGCUGGCUCGCCAACGCCGGCCCCUGUGCGUGUGCUUGGUGCGCCCCGGGCUGCUUCUCCUCCGGCGCCGGCGUCCUGGGAGCUGCCCUUGGGUCGCAUCCCCGGUCUGACGCUGGGAGGUGCAGUAACUAUCAGUGCUUCAGUUUGAUAUAAUUUAGUGCUUUGUAUAAAUCUGUACUUCAUUGCUUUAGUCCUUCAGUUUGAUAUAAUUCAGUGCUUAACAUGGCUGACCAAAUUUCCCAUACGGCUGAUCAUUAGUAACCUGGAGCACUGCACAACAUUGUUAGCUAGCCUAUCACUACAUUUUAUAGGCCCAAAUAUGAAGCUCCAUUUCUUAAUAUCCAGAAACUGAACUUCCAUUUCUAAAAUUCCAGAAACUGAACUAUACUCCUUGCCUUGGGCAUAAGACCUCAUUGCUGACAUUUUAUAGGCCCUCAUACAAUAUAUUGACAAUAUAUAUUGUGUCAAUAUAUUGACAAUAUAUAUUUCUGGCUGUAAAUGGCUAGCUUGGAUGCGAGGAUCAAAAUAUCAGCACCAAAUAAUUGUGGAAUAAAUGAGACUUCACUGUUUAGCUAAGGUUCCGUGAUCCAAAACAUUAUGGCGACGCUGGCUGGGAUGCCUGUAGCGUGCUGUUGCCGUCGGGCGGGGGUUGAGGUUGGUUGUCCGUCGUUUUUUUUGUUUUGAACAUCAUGCAUUGGCCGCUCAGUUUGCACGGGACACUGACCUUAAGUUAACAUCUCAUUCAUAAUUCAUAUUCUGCAUCAGUUUGCAUCCCAAACUCCCAGCUAUGAGCUAUCUACAUGCACAUCUUCUCUCGCUACGUCCACUAGCAGUUCUCACUUUGCACAGCUGCACUGCUACAUCCUACAUAAGUAGUGAAAAAGAAAGUGAAGAUAGACUUUGAUGAGAUCAAUGGCAAUUUCGAGGAACCCAAUGAAGGCAUACGACACAUCAAGAAAAAUUUGAAAUCCAACAGCAAUUACAUCGUUCGAAAGGUUCUAUCUCUGAGCAUCCUUCUGUUUUCUCAUUGUCGCCUGCAUGUUUAUCACAACACAUCUUUGUGCUCCGUAUUACACAUUACCAAUAUUCUGAGCCUGCUUGAAGGUCAGUACAGACUCACAUUAUGAUCAUAAGAUUCGUUCGCUCGGCCAACCGCUACAAAACAUGAGAGGGUUAAGCCAAUGAAGGUAUAGGAACUGCAAGGUGAAAAAUGCUACAUAGUAUUCCCUCCGUUCCUAAAUUCUUGUCAAAAUAUUACAUGAGUAGUACUAUACGAUACAAAACACAGGUACUCUUGUUUCAUCCGGGCACUUAAUGUUGUUGAUCCGUGGGGAACUAGAUAUGCACGAGUCCUUGGACCUAGGAAUCAUGCAUCAAUCCCUGGACCUGGGUAUGCAGGGAGACUCAAGAUCCUCUUGUCAACCACAAGACUUGAGACACUUAUUAUGGAUCUUAUAGUGUUAGAUCAUGUACUGUGCUUCACUGUCAAUGUUCUGAAGAAUGAACAGCACUUAACAAUCUCUAGAGAAACGAAGAUCACUUGCAGUUAUCUGCAAGUGGGGGAAAUUUUACAUGUAAUCCAGAGGAAGACUUUUCUGGUUAGGUUUUAGGUGCAGACGAAAAGAACAAAUGGGAAAUUGAUUGAAUUCACUUUUUGUUGGUCUUUGAAUUCAGCAAAUUAACUAGCAAUAUCCGAGUUAAGCGGAGCUGAGAGAGUACCAGCUUUGCCGACACAGAUAUGCACAUGACAUAAGCUAUAUAGUACUCCCUCCGAUCCUAAAUUCUUGUCUCAAAUUUGCCCAAAUAUGGAUGUAUCUAUUCUUAAAAGGUGUCUAGAUACAUGUAAUAUUUUAACAACAAUUUAGUAUCGGAGGGAGUAGUUCUGUAAGGUCGAGGUUGACAGCAUGGUUGGUCUAAUUUGUUUUUUCACCUAAAUGGUAUUAGAAACCAGAAGCGUUUAGCAUCAGUUUAAGUGUACUUCACCACUCCCUAAUCUCUUUGUUGUUCCUUUUAAUCAGUUCCAUUUUUUUUUCUUGCGGCCUUGUCUCGUAGGUUGGACUGCUAGCACUGAAGACAUUCAAGAGUUGAAUUAGGCUAUGGAUGGCUUACAGGAGUAGCUCGUAUUGUUGUGCAGUAUUCUACCAUAACAGAUACACCCUCUUGUUGGCUACCAAUGUGAUGUAGAUCUUCUAUGAGCUACGUAUUCAUCGGCAUGAACAUGUCGACGAGCUCCUAGAUCCAGCUGAUGUACUUUAGUGCAGAUUUGGAAACAAGCCAUAAUGAACGGGAACUGAAUCUUGAGAUAUUUUUGUUUUGUACAGACUGACUCGAAUAAGAUUAAGCAACUUGUUAAAGUUUGUUCCUA